UACGGGGGGGGCAAGCGUUGUUCGGAAUCACUGGGCGUAAAGGGCGCGUAGGCGGUUUGGACAGUCAGAUGUGAAAUUCCUGGGCUCAACCUGGGGGCUGCAUUUGAUACGUUCGGACUAGAGUGGGGAAGAGGGUCGUGGAAUUCCCAGUGUAGAGGUGAAAUUCGUAGAUAUUGGGAAGAACACCGGUGGCGAAGGCGGCGACCUGGUCCUUGACUGACGCUGAGGCGCGAAAGCGUGGGGAGCAAACAGG
rnacentral:rRNA from 1 species